rnacentral:rRNA from 1 species
UGCCAGCAGCCGCGGUAAUACGGAGGGGGUUAGCGUUGUUCGGAAUGACUGGGCGUAAAGCGCGCGUAGGCGGACUAAUCAGUCAGGGGUGAAAUCCCGGGGCUCAACCCCGGAACUGCCUUUGAUACUGUUAGUCUUGAGUUCGAGAGAGGUGAGUGGAAUUCCAAGUGUAGAGGUGACAUUCGUAGCUAUUUGGAGGAAAACUAGUGGCGAAGGCGGCGCACUGGCUCGAUAAUGACGCUGAGGUACGCAAGUGUGGGGCGCCAACAGGAGUAGCUA